AAAUUUUUAGUUUAGAUUUUAAAAUAAUUUAUUUACAAUAAAUAGAAUUUAUUAAUUAAAAAAGUUUU
rnacentral:tRNA from 1 species